rnacentral:sRNA from 1 species
CAUCUCUGCUGGAGCCUCGGUUACGCCAACAAACCUACCAGCAACACGGUGCAAAGCGUGGCUGACAAGCGCUUAUUUUUACAAUCUUAACCAGUGGUAAUCGCCGUGGUAAACCCAUCGUACAACUAGGCGGUGCUCAGCUAAACAGUGGUACACUGGGCUUCAGAGCUGUGCAUUGCCCCAUCGUCAAAUAUGCCCCGCCAGGAUGCUCUCUUAUAGCGCUGGUAGCAUGAGCCAGGCAUAGAUGUAAAGAACGGCGAAGGGAAAGCGCGAAAGAAGAGCCUGAGGGAUGAGAUGGGAGCUCGAUUGGAAGGAGAGCCUGUACGCAUCUUUCAAUUCAACAUCUACACUGUUUCUUCUAUCGUCUACC